rnacentral:rRNA from 1 species
AUUGAACGCUGGCGGCAGGCCUAACACAUGCAAGUCGAGCGGAUGAGUGGAGCUUGCUCCAUGAUUCAGCGGCGGACGGGUGAGUAAUGCCUAGGAAUCUGCCUGGUAGUGGGGGACAACGUUUCGAAAGGAACGCUAAUACCGCAUACGUCCUACGGGAGAAAGCAGGGGACCUUCGGGCCUUGCGCUAUCAGAUGAGCCUAGGUCGGAUUAGCUAGUUGGUGAGGUAAAGGCUCACCAAGGCGACGAUCCGUAACUGGUCUGAGAGGAUGAUCAGUCACACUGGAACUGAGACACGGUCCAGACUCCUACGGGAGGCAGCAGUGGGGAAUAUUGGACAAUGGGCGAAAGCCUGAUCCAGCCAUGCCGCGUGUGUGAAGAAGGUCUUCGGAUUGUAAAGCACUUUAAGUUGGGAGGAAGGGCAGUAAGUUAAUACCUUGCUGUUUUGACGUUACCGACAGAAUAAGCACCGGCUAACUUCGUGCCAGCAGCCGCGGUAAUACGAAGGGUGCAAGCGUUAAUCGGAAUUACUGGGCGUAAAGCGCGCGUAGGUGGUUCAGCAAGUUGGAUGUGAAAGCCCCGGGCUCAACCUGGGAACUGCAUCCAAAACUACUGAGCUAGAGUACGGUAGAGGGUGGUGGAAUUUCCUGUGUAGCGGUGAAAUGCGUAGAUAUAGGAAGGCACACCAGUGGCGAAGGCGACCACCUGGACUGAUACUGA